rnacentral:rRNA from 1 species
AUUGAACGCUGGCGGCAGGCCUAACACAUGCAAGUCGAGCGGAGCGGCGGACGGGUGAGUAACACGUGGGUGACUUGCCCUGCACUUCGGGAUAAGCCUGGGAAACUGGGCCUAAUACCGGAUAGUGUGGGAUGGGCCCGCGGACUAUCGGCUUGUUGGUGGGGUAAUUGCCUACCAAGGCGGCGACGGGUAGCCGGCCUGGGAGGGUGGACGGCCAAAAUGGGACUGAGGCACGGCCCAGACGCGUACGGGAGGCAGCAGUGGGGAAUAUUGCACAAUGGGCGGAAGCGUGAUGCAGCGGCGCCGCGUGGGGGAUGACGGCCUUCGGGUUGUGAACGCCUUUCACCAUCGACGCGGUAGAUGGAGAAGAAGCACCGGCUAACUCCGUGCCAGCAGCCGCGGUAAUAC